CAUAGAAAGGAAUUGCUUGGUUCUACCUUAGGAUGAGGGUUAGGAAACAGAUUGUUAGGCCCCUCAAAGGAAAGACUGGGAGCAGAGUAGAAUAUGUCCCACCACUUCACUAUUCCUUGGAACAGCACGGAGUAAGAGAUCCUCUCAGUUGGCACUAUAGCUUAGUCCCAAAUCAUACUGUAUGCAGAUUGUACCCAAUUCCAGAACCACACUUUGCCUGAAAGAGGGCAAAUGUUUUAGGCUUAUGUUCACAAGUAUUUCCUUCAUGUAGGAGCCAAUAAAUGUGUUGGAAGUCUGUAAAAACACUUUUUUUCUCAUAUUUAUGACAAAGAUGAGUAAUUAUACUCAAGUUUAUGGCCCCAGUUUGGGGGUAAAUUUUUAGGAAUAUUCCAGUUCUAUGUAUCUUUAGUGACAGCCAGGAAGUAUGCACGUGUGUGUGUGUGCACAUGCACACACACACACACACACACACACACACCACCUAUGGCAUUUGGAAGGUGCCAGUCUGUUACUCACCCAAGAUUAUUUCAGCUAAAAUAAUGGAAGCAGAAGGAAACAGUUUUCAGAAGACACAGGUAAACCAAAAGGAAUCUACCACUUUGGGAAUGUGAAGAAAGGUUAUUGAAAUUACACAGACAGUCUGCAAUAUUUUUCAUGAAUAACCCAUGAGAAAACUAAAAAUAGGACAGCACUCCAUAAUGCUAAGUAUUUAUGAGGCAAUAGAACAUGUACGUAGAUGGCUUAUUGGGGACAUCCUAGGCUGUCUGAAUGCUUAUCUCAUUAAGGGAGGUACUUGAGAUCUGUAGAUACAUAGAUGGGGUGGGUAGCUCCCAUUGAAUUGUAUAAUUUAUGUUUUGCACUUAAUAUAGAAUCCCUAGUCUAAAUCUCUUAGAAAGACUGCAGAAAUUCUGUCUCAUCACCAUCUAUAAAACUACCUAUGGCCAGUAUAACCAUUUAGACAGGUGACAGGCAUGUGACAUAAAUUAAACAAUAAAAUAGCUCAUUUCCUCAAAUGUUUUAUGUCUCAUAAAGGCAAAUCUGUAGCCCAGCUGAUGGUGAACAUUUUUUUAUUGGAGCCAUCUUUUAAAAAUCAGAUUGAAACAUUUAAAAACUGGGAUAUCAUUUAAAUUUCCAACUUCUCUCGAGAAAUAGGAUGACCCACCAAUGUCCGGCUUGUGUUCUUGCAUGGCUGCAAUUAGUUGGAGUUGAAUAGCAACUCCCAUUUUUAUCUGAGGAUAUAAUUUUGGUUUUAAGUUAAAGGUAGAGGCAGGGGAAUAAACAUACUAUCAGGGGAAAAAUAAAUGUCUUCUUUGUGAAUGCAAAUUGCUUCUGGUCCUCAUUCAUAAUAAGAGUUGGAAAAAUGUAUCUAAUAGAUGAGUAUCCAGACACCAUUUGGCUAAGAUUGCAUUAAUUUGAUAUAGUAAAUGUAUAUCUGGCACUACAGCUACAACUUGUUGAAUUGAAUUUUUAGUUACCUACUCUUAUGUUCCAGUAUUCAUUUGGGUUUCAUAGGAGAAAUUCAUGGCUAGAAGAUGGGAGAAGGAAUGUUUUUCAGCUUUCCACUUGGCUUGCCCACUGGAGUAGACCUUAACCCAGAAAACAUAGAAAUAGUGUAUAGCUUCUAACAAUGACCAAGUAUGUGUGUCCCAAUAUUACAUUCAGGGGCUGGGAAAUGACCACAAAGCAGUGGAAUCAUAGAAAGCAGAAUAUAAGCCAAAACUCCAUUUAUUACAUGGUCUCCACUUAAUCCCACUCUAACAGGGGUUCUUGAUGGCAUAUUGGACUCUAUCCAACAGUUCUUGAAAUGUGUAUACAUUUCUUUUUAUCCAACAAACAGUUAUUUAACUAAAUAUCCAGAAAUCCAUUCCUGAAAGGAAUGAUUAUCAAGUACCUUUGCCAUAGUGUCAUGGGACCCUUUCUGCUUGGGACAUGGUCUUUCUAUCUGUUAAUAUAUUUUUGGGUCUGAGAAUAGCACUCAUCUGGAUAUUGGGUAAGAGACUCCAAAUUUUUCUUGCCGCAUCUGCCCUUAGCUUCUAGUGCAUCCGUCCUUGAUAUAGCGUCACUAUAUAAUUUGAGCGAGACCUUAAUGGGCUACCCAUCUAUCUUGACAUUGGAAAUACCAUAUUUUGCUUGUGAACCUAAUGGCUUUCUGCAGGUCAGCCUCCUUGAUUAUAACUUUGACAUUAUUACUAAUUAUGAUAAUUUUGUGCACCUUACAUUUUUCAGUUAAGUGCAGCCACCUGGAUUCUCUCAUACUCACUGUUACCAAGGAGCCCAGCUCUUUAGCAGAAUCUCUUACUUCCCUAGUCUACCAAGGACAGCUAUCACUUAGCUUUUAAAGAAGCUCUCAGUGGCAUGUUUCUUAUCACUUUGGUAAAAGGAUUGUUGUUCUGGCUCCUGCACAAAGUGUUAUUGACUUGUGAGUUUUCUGGCCUUAUAUGGUAUAUACUCUAAAUCACUGCUUUCACCAUCUGUAACAUCUCUACAUUAAGAAUAGGCUAUUGCUUUGUCCAAGAUACCAGGAGCUAUCUGAGCAGUCUAUUUGGACUGUCUUUUGAGGCUCUUGGUAAAGUGUGAAUCCUGUAUUAUAGGAGAGUGUUCACACACUGGUAAACUCCUCAUUUUCUAACUUCACCUCCUCUUCUUUUUGAUACCAAGUCUUUAGGAUUCCACUCCAUUUAAACUCUUUUGACCCCCACCAGUACAUGUUGGCUAGACAUUGAAGCUUCAUAUAUAUAUAUGCUCAGCAGAUCCAGAACUUCCUCAGCUAUUUUAUUCUGUAAUUCUUCUCAUGAUUUAGUUAGCCGCCAAGAAGAAAGAUAAAGGAGAUCAUGAGGAGUUGUUUGUUAUUUUGCAAAGCAAAAUAUUCUGCACGUCCUUCAAGCAAAAAAUGAGGAGGGGUGUCUGGCCUUUCAGAGGAGAGACAACCAUUUAUGAAUGGCUAGAGAGUUCAAGACAAAAUGAAGGAAUAUAAGGAUUCAAGAUUUUCCAAAAUAUCCUCUAACCUACUCUUACUGUAAGCCUCAAUUUCCCAUUUCAUCCUGAUGAGAGCCUUGCCCUACUAUAGCAGACAUGCUGGUGUUCAAAAUUCAUUCUCUCAUUCUUCCUGGAUAUGAGCCUCAGCCCUUUCUCUCCUCUAGCUGUAGGAGGUGAAAGUCUCUUCACACUAUGAAAGGAACCUUCGGAUUCUCACACUUCAUCUGAUAUUGGUGAUACGCACCCUUAGGCUUUCAAAAUUCUAUUAGUGGAAUUUUGAGCAAUUGGAACCACAAUUGAGUGCCAGUGAUGAGGUUUUCUCUCACUUUGGAAUUAGGUGAUCUGGCUCCUAAAUCCCAUCUUAUAGUUGUGUUCCAAGAACUAUGGUUGGCAGGGGCCAUAUCUCAGGUUGGCUUCACAACAGACAAACUCCAGUACUUUGAUAUUUGCACUCAGGAGGUUUACUAAGGAAGGCUUUGAAUGACAGUGUCUGUAGUGAGUCACUGGAUUGGGCAGGGGAGAGCUGAUUCAUGAUGCAGUUGCAGGAGAGGCCUUGACAGUUGCUGGGGUGAGAUCUAGAUCUGUGCUGCUCCUUGUAGUUGUCCUAGUGGAGUACAGAUCCUUUAUACUUCUGCACCACUGGGCAUUGCACACAGAUGCCCCGUAGAAGGCUAAUCUUUGGUGAAGUGUCUUCUUUUAGCCUUGAUCAAUUCCUGAAGGGGAACUCAGUUUUGAACAAUCAAUGAUCUACACUCAGUACAGCCAGAAGAAUGGUCUUGGUCAGUGCCUUGGUCUUGAAGGAGUAUUUGGGAACUAGACUACCUGGUAUACCACAGUUCUCAAUGGAGAUUUGUUUGAUUGCCUAAUCCUUUUGUGAUUAUAGGUCUUUUGAUGGUAGAUUCUUUUCCUAAUUCUUUUUGGAUUGCUAUACAGCAAUUAUCAUAGCACUUGCCAUAAAAUAAUUGUUGGAUCAAUAGGAAUGAAUAAAUAAGUGAAGAAAUGAAAUUUAGGACUAUUAUCUUUCAGUGGCCACACUAAGCCCUAAUUAAUACAUUGGCGGUUUCAACUAUAAUACUUCUGCAUUGGGAUUUUUCCCAAAAUGUGUCUUUCCUACACCGGAUGAUGCAGAUUUAGUUACUACUUGUGUGUACCAAUGACUGAAAGGGCUACCUUGAAAUGUGGUGGUAUGGGUGGGCAAUAGUUAAACCCAAUUUAAUUGCUGUUCUCUUUAACCAUGACCUAGAACCCAUUAGCACCUGGCUGAUGUUGAUUCAUUGGCAUGCACUGCCACAGACAGAGGCUACAUCUUGUCUGCUGUGGAAAUGCCUGUUAGCUUCACUAUAAAUACUUAAGAGAAUAGCAGAAAUGUUUAAAAAUUCUUUCUUGGAAACAGAUUAUUGAUAAUUCUAUUUCCUUUCCAAAUACGUAGUUUGUCACCACAAUUAAUUCUUCAUUAAACAAUGUUAACCUUCUACUCGGGAGAAAUAAUUGUACCCUUUCUUUAGGUGCAAUUAUCCUGAUGAAAGUAAUUAGUCAAUACAGCUACUUAAGAAGGAGCUUUGCAUUUGGAAGGGAUUCAGCUGAUAUGUAUCAUGUGGUUGGGAUUUAGCUUGGCACUGUAUUGAACUUGGCAAUAUGCACAACCUCACUGAGGGCUCCUUAGCUGUUCUUUUUUUGUUUUGGUAAUAGUGAUGUCCAGGGACACUCAGGAUAAAAAAUUAAAUGCACUAAGAGUCAAAGCAUACCUGCUAUGCUGACAAAAUUAUUUAUUUUUAAAAUAAUGAAAAUGUACAUAAAAAGUAGGAUUCUAAUUUUGUUUUACUCUCUUCUGUUUGCCAACUUACUCGUUCUUUCGAUAAUGUAUAACUACAUAAAUCUAAUCCCCUAUCAUGUACUGUGCAUUUUGAGUUUGAAUUUUGCUAAAACAAAUGCAGGGAAACAAUUCUUUAUUUGCCUGAAAUCUGAAGCAGUUUAUGAAGGUAAAUCAUUAUUUUUCAAAUAUAAAACUUUUGAAAUUAUCCCCAGACCCAUAUCUUUAGUAAAGAAAUUAAUUCAAAGACCCUAAUCUCUAUUACUCAAUUUUCUAGGGCAACAGUAAUGUUUUAUAUAUUGAUGGAGAUUUGGGCUACAUAGGUGUUGGAAAUUGUCAAAAUUCAGUGACUGAUCCCUUUUACAUCAAAGAAAAAGACUUGAAACCAAUAUUGAAUUCUAACCAUAUGUUUACUGAAGUAUUUAUGGAGAAGAGUACUGAUGUCUACAAUUUAACUUGAAAUGUGUAAAAAAUAAAAUGGCUUGAUGGAUGGAGGAUGGAUAGAUGAAGUAUUAUGUGAUAAAAUGAGUAGAAUAAAAUCUUCAUGGCAGAAUUUAAGUCACAAAGAUAGGAGUUUUCCAUGUAAAAUUUAAACUUUUCUAUUAUUAAAAUUUUUUUCUAAUAAUAUGUAAAAAUAAUUGCCAUUGGAACUCCUCUUGCAGUGCCAUUGAGGCACUCUUUGAUCAAAAUGGGCUGAUAAUUCAGUCUCUCCAAUUAUUUUUGUCACACAUUCUGGCAAAGUGUGGUGCUAGAUAAUGGAAUUUCUUUGAAACUCCAUGCUUAGGAGUCCUCUUCUACCUGUGAACUGGGGCUAAUAACACUAAUUUUAGCAAGAAGAGUAAAACCCAGUAUACCCAAGCACUUUGGAUGGAAUUACUCAUCUACUUAUCUAUUCUUCCAUGAACCCACCCUCCAAUCAACUGCUUUUGGUCUAUUAUGACUCCUCCAUUUCUCUCUUUGACGAAAGGGAUUUUAAAUGUUAUGACAGCAAAAUUCCUAAAUCAAGAAACUUACAAUGUCAUGGGGAUCUUGACAUCAAGUCCCUAUUUCUACAAGUUCCACUCUGACUUUGUUUAUUCAUUCUGUCAGACAAAAUCACUUCAAAAUCACUGAUGUGAUGUAAGAUUAUGAAAAUAUACUUGCCUGCAUCAGGAGCACUUAAAAAGUUAUACUUUGAUUUUCUUGGUUAUAGCCAAAGCCACAAAAUAUUCCAGUCAUGAGUAAAGAAGCAAGGCUUUACUUUGGGAAACUUUAGAAGAAAUCUAACAAAGCUUUCCCCAACUGGAGUAAAUUAUUAAAUACUUAAAAGUGUUUAGUAGCAUAUAAAAUUCAACCAAGUUCUAUGAAAGUCAUGAGGCUAAAUCGAAUGUUAGUGUAGAAGAGUCCCAACAGAAUGCAUCUCACCCAAGUCCUACAAGUCCCUGUCAAGGGAGUCACUGCUCCCUUUAGGCUGUCUCCUUUUUUAUUGGUUUUAAUUAAUUUUUACAGAAUAAAUUAGUUCACCAUAUUUAAAUCACAUUUGCACACACAAAUGAAAAGUUCUUUUUUCUUCCUUCCAAAUCAGUCCUUUGUUGUGGAAAUAAUUUAUGCAAUGCAACUACUUCUGAGUGAAACUCCGGUCCAUUAAAACGUCCAGUGUACUAGGAGGAGGAAAGAUAGAUAAGAAUACCAAGGAGGAAAAAGUAAAGCAGAAGUAAAAAGGACGUUUUAGAGGAAGCAAGUGGAGAAUAGAGAAGAGAAAAACCAGGGAACAUAGAUGAAGCCAGCUGGCUAUAUAAAUGAGUGCCCUUAGUUGGGACCAAAUGCUGAAAGCUUGCUGCAGGCACCAAAGAAGGCUCCAGUUCUCUGUACCUCCAUUUCAUCUGCAGUGAAUUGCUAGUUGAAAGUCUUCAUACCCCAUUGUUUGGCAUUAGAAACAGAAAUGCAAGGUGCUCUGCAAUCUUUAGAAUCAAUGAUCCAAACCCUUUAUUCUCAGCUCUUCUGCACUAUUACAAAAGGAAGAUUUUCUGUAACUUAUUUUGACUUUAGCAUUAAGGUUCUUGGAUAUUUUCCUUUACCUGCCUUUAUCUCAAUUUAGUCAUAUAAUCAAAAACAAAGAAAAAAUUAAAAAAAAUCUUACAGAGAGAGAGAGAGACAGAGACAGAGACAGAGACAGAGACAGAGACAGAGAGUAACUUGAAACUUCCAUUGCUUGGUCCUUUCAUGUGAUGGUCCUAUCUUUCUGUGCUUAUUUUCUGUUUUACAAAUCUGAAUGAUUAUGACUUCGGGUUUUAAAUUAUUUGGUUGAAUAUAGAUACACAUUUGUGAUAAUGUCACAGGAUUUUUAUUUUAGGGGAUACUUAAGUUAUGUGACACAUUAUGAGAGUUGAAAAUAAAGGGGGUUGCAGAAGUUUGGAUAUUUCUGACUACAAACUCUGGGGUGAAGAUUAACAUGGAAAAUGUACCAGGGAAUGCUCAUGAGAUUUGAACCUGUGUAGUGGAAGGGAAGGAGGAAAGACUGGCACAGAAAAAAGUCAGGUUGGGAUGGAGUCUCAAUGUCUUAGCCAAUUCACAGGGCUGUAAAGCUGGGACAACUGUCCACAGCUGCUCCUUUAUACUUCUGCACUGACCAGUCAUUGGAUGUGAGGUGCCCCACAAAGGGAGCCUAUUGCUGGAUGAGACAGCUCUGUUUAGCAGAGAGGUACUUCUAGAGAGGGAUGACAGCUGAAGGCUGUCAGCAGCAGCCCACAGCAACUGUGGGAAUAAAUACUGCUUUCCUGGAGAGAGGCUUUCCUGUAGAGAGACUUUCCAGUACAUUACAGAAUUCACUACAGGGGACUUGUUCCUCCUCUCUUGUCUUAUACUUAUGUUCCCUAGUACAAAGUAGCCACAAUUCUAUGUGGUUUUUUUCUUUUUCACUCUUGUCAGAGACAUAUAGCCAGCCAUGGCUAGGCCAUCUCAAUUUUUUGUUUGUUUGUUUCAGCUUGGUUCCCUGAGCAGCUGUAGCUGCAGCUUCAAUUUUCACAGCAGCUUAUCUUUCACCUUUGGUUUGAAAUUGAGAAAGACCAAUGUGCCUCAGUGGAGAAAUUUCACCUGCUCUGAUUCUUAGACCAGGGAGGUGCAAACCAUAACUUGUCAAUGGGCAAUGUGUGGGAUCUGAAUUGGUUUCCACUAAUUUUUUCCAAUCUGUUUGCUAGGUGAAAAUGGAUGAGGGUUGUUUUUCUGUUUCCUGCUUGUAAAGAAUGUUAAUGUGGAUCUAUAUAUUUUCCUUGCCGAGCCUAAGAAGGCCUCACUAAAUAAUAUUCUUUUCCACCCAUCAAUCUGUGUUAGGAAGAUGUAUGGCUGGUAUCUAAGGCGCUGUCAGUGUGUUAUUUUCCAUGUUCCUCUCACAUGUCAAAUAUAAAAAUACAGCCUGUCAGUGUAAGUGUGAUAUGGGAUAUUGUUCACAGAGACUGUGAAAAAUCCUGCAGCACUUCCUGAUUCAUCAUUUCAACAGCCUAAUCAUUUCAGAACCCAGUCUAAACAAAAUAGUUAAGGGCAUUCUGACUUAGGGGGUAUGAAAUCACAAUUGAUUUAGAAAUGACUAAAAAAUCCCCCAAAAGAAAAAAAUGUUUUGGAGAAGAGAACAGAAACCUUGUUUUCCUCUCCAAUUUCAUAGUUUCUAAUCUUUCGUAAGGUUGUUUAUCAGUUAAUUAUUCUGCACUGCACGCUGAACCCUGACAUUUUGCCAAAGUGGCCAGGAGGCCUCGUUAAGUCAGAAUUUCUACUUUCUGCUCACCUGUCACAGCUAAAAGCUCCCUCAAAUGCAUUGACAUCGAUUAAUAUUUAAUGAUUGAAUAGUAAAAAUAUAGGCUCAGCACUUUUUACUUUUUUCUCUUUAAAUAAGGAUAAAAGGCAUCAGAACGGACCCUGCUUCAUACACACUCAGUUCUAGAUUUUUUACAAUGAGAAAUUUAUAUUGGUGGCAAGAAAGAAAUAAAUGACAAUGUGUGCUUCUACAGAAGGUUAGACUGUAACGCAGAGAGAACUAACUUGAUGGACACCUGGUCUGCGUGGGGCGCUGUGUUAAGUAAUUUCAUAUUACAGUAAUACCUUGGUUCAGGAAAGGUUCCUUUCUUCAGCAAUUCGGUUGGCAAAAUUUUGCUUCCAUUUGAGAAUCCCAUGUUGGGUGAUGAACAUAACCAUGGCCAGCUUCCCCAGUAUUGUGGAAUGCAUUAAGUUCCACUGUAUUUAAUGCAGCACUUCUACCAGACAGAUGCCACUAUUUGCAUUUUACAAAUGAAGAAACAGGCUCAGAGAAGUUAAACAGCUUGUCUGAAGUCACAGGCACAAAAGGCUCAAUCAGGAUUAGUCUCCAGUUGUUUGUCUCUAUGGUCCUCGCUGCAUUCUUGGGACAUGGCGAACCCGAGCCCUGUUGAACUUGUGUCUACUUUGAGUGAAUCAAUUAUUUUGUAUCUUUGUGCUUCAGUUUUCCAAUCUGAUAAUUAAGAUGUAAACCAGGCCUUGAAUUCUAGUUUAGACUCUUAUAAGACACAAGAUUCUGAAGAAAGCUAUGAGUUUACUUGUUCAAGAGUAAAAACCAGAGCAAUUGAAGAGAAGGCAAUAAUCAAAGAAAUCUCUUAAGUAACAAGCAACUUCCCUCAUCAUACAAAGGCUUAAGUACCCAGAACAUAAAGAUUCACUGUACUGCAGAAAAAAAAUCAAAGAGAAGAAAAUCAUACUUGAACACAGGAGGUCAAAAUGUUUGAAUUAGAAAAAUAAAAAUAAGUCCUACAUUCACUCAAGAUGAAAGAAAAAUGUUGCCUACAAAACCCUGACCUAAAACUUUCUGUAAUAGCAAAUGCCAGAAUUUGAGAAAAAUCUUUGUUUUUUUGGAAAAAAAGUUUGUAACCCAAGAAUUUAUAAAACGGUUCAGAUUACAAACCAUUUCAUUUAUGACAGCACUAGAAAAACUUUCACCAUCAUUCAAAGAUUCACACACUACUCACUUAUGUCAACCUUUUUAUUAUUUAAGUAGUAUAUAAAACAUACAGUACACAUCCACGAAAUAAAAAUAGUGAAGAAAAAGAAGAAUUCUAGGCACUGUACUGAUUAAGUCACACUUCAUAUCUCAAAAUCAAUAAUAAAUUGAAUUUUGUGAUUUGAAGCCUAGAGGGGUUGUAUUGGUCAGCAAUUGCUGGGAAAAAAUACUAAACACUCACAAAUUAAAGGAGGAUAGGUUUACUUUGGCUCAUAGUUUCAGAGGUUUCAGUCCAUGGUCAGCUUGCUCCAUGGCAGAACAUCAUGGCAGAAUAUCAUGGCAGAAGGCUGUGGCAGAGGAAAAUUGCUCAAAUCAUGGCAUGUGGAAAGCAGAGAGGAGGAAAAAAGUCCAAGAAGAAGGGGCUGGGGCCAGGUAUGGUCCCUAAAGUCGCAACCCCAUAACCCACUUCCUCCAAAUAGGGUCCACCUCCUAAAAGCACAUUCAGCUAUGGUUAACUCAUUGAUGAGGUUAGUGCCCUCAAAAUCUAGGAGUCUCUUAAUCCAGUCAAGUUGACAAUCAAGGUUAACUAACAUGGGCAUUAUGUGCAGUACACAGGAUACUCUUCUCUAUGAAUACUUUCUUAACCAUGGAUAACCUGUGUACGUUAUUGAUUUAAAGAACCUGAAGAAUGACUAAAUAAAGGAUUUGUUUUUGUUCUACAAAUAUAAAAUUGCAAAGAGCUAUAUACUGGCCAUUUUCAAUGCCAAAGAGUUGACUUAAUGGUGUUCCACAUUUUGCAAAUAUAUAUUGAAUAACUUUAGUCAUUGAGAUUUAACCUGGAAGGAUUAUAAACAACUCAUUAGAAAAUUUUGUUAGCAAGGACCUCUUUACAGUGUCUACUUACUAUAUAUAAAACAAUGAUGGUGACUAAAACACUAUAAAGAAAAUAUACAUAAAUGUGAAUAAUAUUAACUAGGAAAUGCUGGGAUUUAAGGUCAUUUCAUGUUUUUCUUUACACUUUGCUGUCAUUUUCCACAAUUGAGCAUAUGUUACUCUUAUAAUUAGAGAAAAUUGAAUAAGAAAACCUCAUAAUAGUCAACAGUAGAAAACAGGCAAUUCACAAAAGUAGAAACCCUAUUGCCCAGUAACCAUAUGAAGAAAAUAUUGUAUCUUAUUAAUGAAGGAAAUUCAAAACAAGACCACCAUGAAAAAUCUUUUUGUACUCAUUAGAGCAGACAAUAAUUUAAGUUUGACUAUGCCUGCAGGGUGAGGGUGUGAAGUCACAGGAAGCCUCACAUCCCACUGUAAAUGUAAAUUAACACAACAACUUUGGAGAUGAAUAUGGAAAUAUCUAGAAGAGCUGACAAUGUACAUGUCAAUGAUCUGGUAAUUAUAAUUGUACAUAGCUGCAACAUUUCUUAUAAUAACAAAAAAGUGGAUACAAUAUCCAUCAACAGGAAAAUAUAGAUUAAAAAGCUUGUAGUAUAUCGUAUACUGUUGUCACCCGAAUUGAAUGUGAGCUACAUAUAAAAAUGUGGGGAAACCCUCAAAACAUAAUAUUGAGGGGGAAAAUGAAAGUUUCAAUUAUUCAUAGCAUGAUUUCAAUUUAUAAAAUUAAAAAAUAAAAUUAUAAAUAGAAACUUAAGAACAUUAAUAUGUAAAUUAAAAGGUCUAAGGAAUUAUGUAGUAAAAGCAUCUAUUUUGUCUAUGAGUUCAAACAGAGAGUAAAACUAUAAAAGCAAUCAAAGAAGCAAUAAAUUCAGAACAGUGGUUAUCUUUGAGGAGAGAAGGAAGAAACUUGACCCUGAAGAAGAGUAUUUCAAUGGUGUUGGAAGUUCUGUGAUUUUUUUCCUUGGAAAAACUUAAACUUCGGAGGUAUAGAUAUGAAUAUUUUAAUAACUGGCAAAACUGACAAUUGGUACAAUAUUAUUUGCUUCAAAAUUUUAUAGUAAAAAAUGAAAAUAAAAUGUUAGUUGCAUGUUUCUUUAUAAUAUGUAAUUAUAAAUACAAAAAUAAAAUCUGUACAAUUUUAAUGUGCUCUCUGGCUGCAAGUGAAUACAAUAUUUAUAGCAUAAAGUCUACAAGGAAACAAAAAAGAAAUCAAAUGCUGGUUGCAUCUAGAUGAUACAGAUAAUAUUUAACUUUCUUUUUAAGACAGUUCUAUAUUUCUGUAUUUUGAGAUUUUAUUAUAAGACAAUACAAUUUUUGUAACUGAAAAUAUAUAAAAUUUGAGUAAAAGUGCAGAUUUGGACCAUACUGUGGAGGGACUUGAAUGUCCUUCUGUGUCUUUAGCUUUGUAACACGUACUUCCCAAACUCUGUGUUGUAGAGCAUUAGUUACGCUUCGGAUAUUAAGGUGUAUUCUUGGGAGAAAGAGGUUCUAGGUUGAAUAUAUUUCAGAAUUUUUAUGCUUUCUGCUUGUAACAUAAUGAGCCUUUAAAUUGGCACAUUAAAGGCUCUGACAAGUUCUGUAGUACUUUUUAUACAGCUUCUCAUUAAUUGGUAUUUAGCAUUCAGAAAUAUGAUUAAGUCUAAAUUUCAGAGAAUAAUUCCAGUCUCCAGGGGGAAGAAACAUGAAUGAUCUUGAAUAUUUUGAAAUAAUGUGGCUUAAAACUAGAUCAAAUAACCUGUCACUUUUUACAAACUUCAACAUUCUUAUUCCAAAAUGGUUUGGUGCCUUUUGUAGUCUACAUUUAAUACUCAUAAAACCAUAUUACAUAGUUUUGUCAAUUGUCAGCUCCACAUAUUAACUGUGUCAAUAUGAUAUAUAGCCUACUCUUCCUACUUGGAGGUACACAGUGUUUUCCUUGUUCUAAAAAGUGACAAGAAAACGUUUUGAGUUUUUAUUUACUGGCCAGAAAGCUUUUAAAAACACAAGGCUUUUGGCCAGUUGUAUUGCAGGAGAAGCUGUAAAAUCAGUCAAUGACUAGCAGCAAACAGAGAAGGGGCUGGGCUGUGGCACUUAUGAAAAAGCCAAAAUCUGUACAAGAUACUUGGUUCUUAUAAGUACCUUGCCCCUUCUCACUGUCACAAGCUCAGUGACCUCAGAGUCACCAUGCUGGCUCUAGGGGCAGGAAUCUGAAAUCCAUUCCCAUCAUGGUGUAAUUUACUGACACCAGCUCUUAUUUUAAAUAUCAGAGGGAAGUCUAAAAUAAACAGAGAAUAAUGAGAAUGGUAGGUUCAGAAGCAUUUUGGAAGGAGACCACUGUCUCAUUGAUGUAACAUCCUAUCAGAAGGUGCCAGACGUUCUACCUUCAGAGACAAGAGUGUAUUUCAAAUGGGUAGUGUUAUGCUCAAAGUAUAAUACAAAAAAAAAGAGAGAAAAGAAAGAUACCUGAGACAAGGUGUUCUAGAUUUGUAAUAUGUCACUUCUAUGGAAUAUGGGCCUAUUAUUUUUAAAAGUCUAACUAAAUAAAAUCAAAUUUUAUAGAAUGUAAGAGGCAUGAAGACUUGGGAUACGGAAUAUCAAUAUCACCAAUAUUCAACUUCAAACCUAGUGAGCCUCUACCUGAUUAGUGAGGCCUAAAAUUUCUUCCAGGUACCAGUAGCCAUACUAAAUUGUUUAUUGCUCUCCAACCGAUAUCCAGCCCCAGAUUGGUAAUUAUUAACAAUGAUGAUGAUGACUAUCAUUUACAUAAAAUGGUCUUAAAAGCUAUGAUGGUUAAUUUUAUAUAUCUAAUUAACUAGGUGACAGGAUGACUAUAGCUAGUAAAACAUUAUUUUGGGGUAUAUCUGAGCACUUCUGGGAGAGAGUGACAUUUGAAUCUGUGGACUGAAUGAAGAAGGUUGUCCUCUUCAGGGAAGGUGGAUAAUCAUCCAUUGAGGGCCUAUAUAGAACAUAAAAGGGGAGAAAGGGUGAAUUAGCCUUCUUAGUUUGAGCUAAGAUAUUAAUCUAUCCUUGUCCUUGGAUACUCAGGGCUCCUGGUUCUUUGGCCUUCAGAUUUGGACCAGGACUUACACCAGUGGCCCCCUGGUUCUUGAGUCUUCAGAGUUAUUCUGACACUUCUAUUAUUAGCUCCUCUGGUUCUUAAGCUUUGGGGAUUGGAUUGUAAUUAUACCACCAGUUUUCACAAGCUUCUGGCUUGCAGACUGUAGAUUAAGGAUUUCUAGGGUGCAUAAUCAUGUAAGCCAAUCUCUCAUAAUUUAUUUAUUUAUAUAUACUGUCUAUACUGUCUAUACACUAUUCUAUUUUCCUGGAGAAAAUAUAAUAACCCAUUACCAUAUUUUUUUUUUAAGUUAUCUAGUUUCUUUCAUUGACCAGAGGGAUGGAUUGCAGAAGGUUGCUUUACCUUUUUAGGUCUCAGUUCCACUCAUAAAUAAAUGGCUUCUACAAAAUUUUUGUGCUUUUACUAUGCAUAAGCCUUUGCUACAUACUGUAGAAAAUGCCAUCCCAAGAGUUUUUUUUUUUUUUUAUAAUUGCACAAGAGAUUUAUUAGGUAGGCUACAGGAUCAGAAGUGGAAGAGACUAAGUGGUUAUCUUGGGAUCAGAAGCAGAAGAAUCUAAAAUAGCCAUUUGAGUGCUGGAGAGCUGAAGGAUCCAGUGGCAGUCAAAAGUUGAAAGCCUAGAAGCUCACUAUGAAAUCACCAGAGUGAGUCUGUGUUAGAGGGCAGAAAAGUCCUGCACAGGAAUGCUGUAGAUUCUACGCUGAAAGGCUGAAGGAACUGGAGACCAGCAUCCAAAGGUAAUGGGGAAGACCAGAGCUCCUCCAAAAGGGAAGGCUUCCUUCUUUUUUCUGUUUUUAUUCUGUCCAGGACACAAGCCAAUGGUUGGUACCAUCUACAUCUGGGGUAGGUCUUCCCCUCUCAGUUUGCAGGCCUACAGGUCAGUUAUUCACACAUAUACCCAGUAUUUACUAAUCUGAGAGGCAGUUCUUACUCAAGUCAAGUUGACACAUCAUAAUUAAUGAUAACACAUGUAAUAUGUAGCAUCUUUUUAAAUGCUUACUUACCAUUUGUACUUCGGUGAGGCGGUCAUUUCUUUGUCCUACUUCAAAUUAUCACUUUUAAUUGUGCAGUUAAAAAGUAAGAUAUUUCUUUACAUAUUUGUGUGUUUCACAUUUAGAGCUAAUCAUGAAGCUAUAUAUUACCAUACAAAAAGAAUUUAAGUCUAACAUACGUUAAUAAUUAAAGCCCCUGCUCUGGAAUUCUAAGACUCUGACUUUUACCUUGAUCUCCAUAGAUCCACAAAGAAUAAAUAUAAAAUUAUCUUUAUUUCUAAAUUUUCCUACUUAUUCACUACUCAACAAUAGCAAUUACUUAACUAUGCAUUUUUUUUCCAGUAACACAGAGCAAUUUUAGUUUGCAAAAAAUUUAACUUUUUCUGGGUUAAACUGAGACAUGUUUAUAAGCAAAAUGUUAAAAUGGAUAUGUCUUUGUAAAUGAAAAAUGAUCAUGAAACAUGUAUUUGUAAACCAAGGAAUAAGUACAGAUAGCAUUUAAAUAUACAGAAGUAUCAGAGGUGAUCAAUCCUCCAACAGCCUAGAAAGGGCUAAAGAAAAAAAGACAAGAGAUUUGCAUAAUUUCAAAGUAUAUGGAGGGCCAGGAAGUCAGUGCCUCAGAGUUGGCAAAGACCAGGACUUCCUGAGCUAGCCACUAUCUAACAGGUACAAAGCAAUAAUUGAAGGGAGCAUUGGGUGACUUGGGAGCAGUGGUAAUCCUAUGUCCAUGCAGAUCUUAUGCUGAUGAAGAUCUCAGGUUGAUGAAGGCAGUAAGAAGAGCAUUCCUACAAUAAUCAGUGGGAUGAGUUGAGCUGAUAAGGAAUUUGUCCCUCCCCAGGUGAAACCUUUCUCUUUUGUUAUUAUUACUCAGUUCUCAAAGAAUCAGGAUGUCUUCAGCUGACGAAAUCUUGCCCUUGAGUAUCAUAGUAUCAUGGGACCACUGAAGUCUUGGAUGUGUGGAAUAUUAUCUUUCUUCUCACAUGAUAGGAAGAUCCAUGAAAACAGGGUAGUUUCUAUUUUUCCCACCAAUAUAUAUUGCAGCAUCCAGUUCAGUGAAUUCCAGUGGAACUCACAGUAUUUGUUCAAAGUAAAAUUACAAAAUUACACAGUCACAAACACCACAAAUGUAUUCAAAAUCCUGAACUAUUCAAAAGAAAAUUUUUUAUUUUGUUUGGAGUGUGGAGGGGAACAAAAAAUACGAGCAGAAAGGAGAUACAAGAUUUCAUGUAAAAGGAGUUUUGGGGCUUGGGUUGGAGGCAUGGCAAAGUGCUACAAAUUGGAGGAGCAAUUUAACAAAGGCUUAAGAAAGAAGAGAAUGGAAUUAAUAUGAGAAAAAGAAAAAAUGGAAACGAAGUCUUUGUAGAUCAGGAGGGGUGGAAGGGUUGAAGGAAGGGCAGGGGCAAGGAGAAAAAAUAAGAACCAAGAUGGAUUAUGUAGAGGUGCAAUUUUCCAAUGAUGAAUGUCAUUAUAUUGUAUACCUUAAAUGUACCAAUAAAAUGAAUUUUUUAAAAAAGAUAAAGAAAAGAGAGACAUGUUUGUGAAAAUUCCCACUUGACUGUGUUGCAGGUUAUGGGUAAGAAGACGGAGAAAAGUUUGGAAAGAUAACUUGAGGACCUCACAUAGAAAGUUUUGGUUUUUCAGAUAGUAGGAUUAAACUUUACUUCCAAGAUUUUUGAGAGGUCACUAAAUAUCUCUCAGCAGACAUUUGGUAUGAAGCAAAUUGUGCUUUAAGAGAAUAACUCUGGAAUUAUAGGGAGUAUGAUCAGGACUGGAGGGAGGAAGGACAUGGCUGCCAGAGUAGCUCCUGUCAAAUAAAAUAUGGAGCUGAACAAGGUUAUUGAUAUUAGGGGACAGAAGUGAACAAAAUGUUUUGAUGAAGAACUGAUAGGUUGGAGGCACUUGGGAAAACAUCAGUUGUGGCUUAAUUUUUAAAUCUCUAAUUCCUAUAGAUGAGGGUUUGUCAACUUUAGCAAGAUUAAAAAUGUGAACUAGGGCCGGGGAUUUAGCUCAGUGGUGCCAUGCCUGCCUCGCAAGCUCAAGGUCCUGCAUUCAGUCCCCAGGACCCCCCACUCCAAAUGUGAACAGCAUAAUUCUUAGUUUGGGGAGAUGGUUCAGUACAUGUUUAAUAGUAUUUCUCACCUCUGUUCACUAGAUGCUCAUAUUGAUCUCAUUUCAGUUAUGAAAACCACACCUGCCUUAGGACAUUGACAAAUGUUUCUAAUGGAAUAAAAGUGUCCUCAGGUAAAAACCACUGCCCUAUAUAAAAUCAAUGAGUAACUAGGGUAUAAAAUGCCAAAACUCUUGGAUAAUAUCUGUUUAUAUCCUCUCUCCCUCUCACCCUUGAUUCUUCAGUGUUAAGGUAUCGCCAAAUACCCCAAAACAUGAGUGAGUUAGAAAAAAAAAAACAUUGAGAUUGAUGGGACAUGUGCAGUGUCUGUAUCUUUGUAGAAGAAAUUAAGGGGAAGACAAUAUGGAUUCUGAGGGUCCUGAGUACCAUGCCCCCCACCUCUCUAACAAGUACACAAUGGAAAAUGGGGCUGAACUAGGUACGAGAUUUUCAGAAUCUAAAUCAUGGUUGAGAGAAAGGGAUUGUAUUAGAUGAUAUCUAAUACAGAGUAUUUAUAGGGCCCAGAGUAGUCUGGGCCCUAUAAACCGCUGAUAGCAUCAAGCCAAAUUCCUUUCCAGGAGAAACUGUUAAAAACAGAUUCCAAAUUAAGCAGAACAGGAACAAACAGGACAAAAAAUAUCCAGAUGAAAAAGGAGUAAGUAGGUGGAAGGAGGUCUCAUAAAACAAAAGAUGGCAUAUUUUUAAAUUACUUUGAGGGAAAAAUAACAGAAGAGAGAAUUCUAGGGUCAUGAGUCUAGAGAAGUUAUUUUGGCCUCUCCUCCCUCCUAAAAGUGCAUGAAAAUUCAUUUAGUUACGUAUGAGCAAAGGCAAAAGUAUGCAGUCUAAUAAAGACAACAAGAAGCAGAAAAAAUUCCCCAUGACUUGAGAGGCACAUGGAAAGCCAUGCUCAAAAAAUAAUGAAAACUGAAACCUUCUAUUUCAAAAUGAGCUAAACAAAAGAAACCAAGCCAAUGGUAAGAGCUAUGACAACAAAUCACAAAUAGAAAAAUUUAAAAAAAUAGAGUGAUUAGGAAAGAUUUAGUGAGUGCUUAUAUAAAUUAUGAAAACACUAAAAGUAAGAAAUAAUAACAUCAUUUCCUAAAGAAGUUGAGUCAAGAAGAACAUAAAAUCAAAUGAACUGAAAGGAUAAUACAUUGAAAGGAAGAACAUAGAAAGGAAGAAAAUUUUUAAAACCACACUGAUAUGAAUAAAGUCUUUAAAAAAAUAGACAAAAGGAUGAUUCAGGAGAUUUAACAUAUGUCUAGAACAGGGUCCACUGUAGGGUCCAUGGACUCCAGAGUGUGGAGAAAAAUUUUGGUGGCCUAAUGAACUUGGUUGGUGUAUUAGUCUGUCUUCUGUAUGGUGUAUUAGUCUUGCUAUAGCAGAAUACUGGAAGCUGAGUAAUUUUUAAGGAAAGAGGUUUAUUUAGCUCAUAGGUUUGGAGACUAAAAGCCCAAGGUUGGGUUGCCUCAUCUGUUUAGUCUCUGCUGAGGAUUUCUCCUUUGCUAAGUCAUAACAUGGUAAAGAAACAGAAAGGGAAUCAGCUGCAUACAGAAGGGACAAAAACAUACAAGUGGUGUCCAAAAUUUAUAACAACCCAUACUCAUGAGAACAAAGUCACUGAGGUGCACUGCCACAGGCAGUCAUGCCAAUAACUUAUUUACCUUUCACUGGGCUCCACCUCAGAGUGCUUCCAGCACCUCAGCAUCAUCACACUGGCAACCAACCUUCCAGCACAUAAAUCUCAGGGGGAUGAACCACAUCCAAUCCAUAUCAGUUGGGAAAAAUUAUUAUUAUUUUUCCACUAGCUGAAAUUUAACAUUUUAAAAAAUUAUCAGUGUAUCCAACAAAUUGUAGUGUUAAGAUUGCCUGUGACUUUAUCACCAAAAAAUCACAGAUAUUUCAAUAUGAAAUUAGAGUUCAAAAAUAUAUAUUCAAAUAUCACUUAUGUUCAUUGAUUUUUAAACAUAGUUAUUAACUAUAGUUAUAUCUCAUUAUUUAAAACCUA
rnacentral:lncRNA from 1 species